AGCGCCACCUGCUUCCUGCGGCAAGUGCAUGGCGGCUUCCUGUUUACAUUUUUGAACUCCGCAUGCUUUCAACUUCCAAGCUUGACGCUGUUGUUCAUGACAUUGUGAAAAAUAUAUGGAUAUAUAUGGGUGGUGAUGAUAUUUAGCAUCAUCCGGAAAGUCAAGCAUCGAUAUUUGGUCUACGACAAUUUGCCUACUGGUCAUCAAAGGGCUCGGUACAACGUAAGCUUUGCCUUUUUCUGGCAAUAGAUGCUGGAAUUUUUUCAAAACGCCAACUACACGUGCAAGCUUACUUUGAAGAUGUUCUUUGUGACUAUCCCAUAGCAUGAAUUCAUUAAAGUAGACUCCAAGCAUUCUGUGUUAGUAAUUUCUAUGGCAUUCCCUCCUAAGGCUGCUGGAAAAAUUGCUUUCACUGGUGGAUCUGAUGAUGGUCCUCAUUUCUGUGGCUGGCACAUGAAG
rnacentral:lncRNA from 1 species